AGUGAACGCUGGCGGUAGGCCUAACACAUGCAAGUCGAACGGCAGCACAGUAAGAGCUUGCUCUUACGGGUGGCGAGUGGCGGACGGGUGAGGAAUACAUCGGAAUCUACUUUUUCGUGGGGGAUAACGUAGGGAAACUUACGCUAAUACCGCAUACGACCUACGGGUGAAAGCAGGGGAUCUUCGGACCUUGCGCGAUUGAAUGAGCCGAUGUCGGAUUAGCUAGUUGGCGGGGUAAAGGCCCACCAAGGCGACGAUCCGUAGCUGGUCUGAGAGGAUGAUCAGCCACAAUGGAAAUGAGACACGGUCCAGACUCCUACGGGAGGCAGCAGUGGGGAAUAUUGGACAAUGGGCGCAAGCCUGAGCCAGCCAUACCGCGUGGGUGAAGAAGGCCUUCGGGUUGUAAAGCCCUUUUGUUGGGAAAGAAAAGCAGCAGGUUAAUACCCCGCUGUUCUGACGGUACCCAAAGAGUAAGCACCGGCUAACUUCGUG
rnacentral:rRNA from 1 species